UACGAAGGGUGCAAGCGUUGCUCGGAAUUAUUGGGCGUAAAGGGUUGGUAGGUGGUCUUGUUUGUCUAAGGUGAAAUCCCAUGGCUUAACUGUGGAAGUGCCUUAGAAACGGCAAGACUAGAGUCCUAGAGGGGUUUGUGGAAUUCCCGGUGUAGCGGUGAAAUGCGUAGAGAUCGGGAGGAACACCAGCGGCGAAGGCAGGUCUCUGGGCAUUAACUGACGCUGAGGAGCGAAAGCAUGAGGAGCGAACAGG
rnacentral:rRNA from 1 species